rnacentral:rRNA from 1 species
AUUGAACGCUGGCGGCAGGCCUAACACAUGCAAGUCGAACGGCAGCGGGGGAUAGCUUGCUAUCCUGCCGGCGAGUGGCGGACGGGUGAGUAAUGCAUGGGGAGCUGCCCAGUCGAGGGGGAUAACAACUGGAAACGGUUGCUAAUACCGCAUACGCCCUAAGGGGGAAAGGUGGGGAACUUCGGUCCUACCGCGAUUGGAUGCGCCCAUGUGGGAUUAGCUAGUUGGUGAGGUAACGGCUCACCAAGGCGACGAUCUCUAGCUGGUCUGAGGGGAUGACCAGCCACACGGGGACUGAGACACGGUCCAGACUCGUACGGGAGGCGGCAGUGGGGAAUAUUGCACAAUGGGGGAAACCCUGAUGCAGCCAUGCCGCGUGUGUGAAGAAGGCCUGCGGGUUGUAAAGCACUUUCAGUCAGGAGGAAGGUGGUAAGGCUAAUAUCCUUAGCAAUUGACGUUACUGACAGAAGAAGCACCGGCUAACUCCGUGCCAGCCGCCGCCGUAA